rnacentral:rRNA from 1 species
AUGGCCGACGCGCCGCCACCGCCGGGGCCGCCCGCGAGCUCCUCCGAUCCGGCCCCGCCGGCGGAGCCCGGCGAUCCGCUCUCCCUCUCCCGCGGCUACCUCUCGCUCCGCCAGGCCGGCCCCGCCAGCGAGGAGGAGGCGUCGCCAGCGCCCGCGGGGCCGCCCGACGAGAGGUGCAGGGCGAUGAUGGAGGUGGUGAGGAAGGACAACGGGGCGGGCGGGGAGGAGGGCAAGUGGAGGGUGUCCAAGCUGGUGGUGGAGCACAACCACGGGCUGGGCGCGGCGCCGACGGGGGAGGCGGCCUCUUCCGCGCCGGAGCUCGGGAUGGAGUUCGACUCCGUCCACGACGCCAAGGGCUUCUACUACGGCUACGGGGAGAGGGCCGGGUUCAAGGCGCGCACCGGCUCCAACCGCCGCUCGGCCGGCACGGGGGGCAUGAUCAUGCAGCGGUUCCUCUGCUGCAGAGGCAAUUACUCGUACAGGAAAGGUAAUAAAGCCAAGGAUUCGGACCCCGCCAAGGAGGUGGAGGAUGGCGCUGCUGGGGGAGGGGAAGGGGAAGGGAAGGUCGAGGCCCCUAAGAAGAGGGGCCGAAAGCCCGGGAAGAAGAGCACGCCGGUGAUCGAGGUGGAGAACUCGGUGGAGAAGGGUGUUGCAAUAGCAGGCGCAGAGAAUGGGCAAGCAGUGCCUAGUACGAAGAAUUUGGGGAGAGGUGGGGAUAAGAAGGAUGUUGCGGAGAAGGAUGUCGAGUCUGUCGUCGAACUGGAGGAAGAACAUGUUGAGGUGGAGGAUGCCGCACAGGAUGGUGCCCAUGACCUCGGUGACGGCGACGAUGCUGGUUCUGAUGCGGGUGAGGGUGUAAUGGAAAAGGAGGUGGAGGUGAAGGAAAAGAGAGGGAGGGGGAGGCCGAGAAAGGCUGUUACAGAGGGCAAUGCCCUGCAGGCAUGUGUGUCGACGGACCUUGGUGUGACGGCGUCGCAGUGCGCUGUUGAUGAGAGAAAGAAGAUACUUAAUAAGUAUCUCUCGAAGCGACAGAGCAGACCUGCCUCAGGCAGACCCGCCAAGCCGUUAGAAAGGCGAUCGAAACGUCUUGAGAAGCAAAAUCUUCAAAAUGAAAAGAAGCCUGAGAGUAAAGAAUAUGAAAUAGUUGAAGCGGAACAGGAUCCAGAAACUGAAGUAGUAGCUGGGCCUGGAGGAGAGCCAAAAGUUGGUAUGGUUUUCCUGAAUGAAGACAAGGCUUACGAGUUUUAUGUCAGCUAUGCUGGAACUGCAGGAUUCAAUGUCCGAAAAGGAUGCUCUGAGAAAACAGCAAAUAAUGUUACGAAAUCUCGGGCUUAUGUAUGUUCUAAAGAGGGAUUCCGCCCUAAAAGUUUUACUGCCGAGCCAAAGAAACAACGAGCAGAAACAAGAACUGGCUGUGAAGCACACAUGACUGUUAAAAUCACUACUAGCGGCAAAUAUGUAGUGACAGAGUGUGUGGCCGAUCACAAUCAUGAUCUUGAAGCUCCUGUGGUGGACAUUCAGAUUCUGAGAUCACAGAAGUUAUUAGCAAAGUUACAGCAGCCUCCAGAUCCACCAAAAGUUGUUUUGAUACCAAAUGACUAUAAAAAUUAUGUUAGGACAAGGCACACGACGGAUAUGCAAUUGGGCGAUGCUCGGGCAAUUUCUGAAUAUUUACAGAGGAUGAAAGGCGAGAAUCCUUCAUUCUUCUGUUCCAUUCAAGUGGAUGAAGACGACCAAUUCAGAAAUGUAUUCUGGGCAGAUGUUAAAUCAGUGAUGGAUUUUAACUACUUCGGUGAUGUAGUAUGUGUUGACACAAGGUAUAGCAUAAGUGAUUAUUGUAGGCCUCUGUUGUUGUUCAUUGGAGUUAACCAUCAUAAGCAGCCAACCAUAUUUGGUACAGCAUUUAUUUAUGAUGAAUCAGUCGAAUCCUUCAAGUGGUUGUUUGAAACUUUCAAGUCUGCUAUGAGUGGAAAGCAGCCAAGAACAGUUUUGACUGAUCGCUCUACAGCAAUAAGCGAUGCAGUUGCUUCUGCUUGGCCAGGGACUGCUCAUCGCUUCUCACUGUUGCAUUUGUAUCAAAAUGCCACCAAGGUACUAAGCGAUACAUUCCAAGGGUCGGAAACUUUUGCCCAUGAUUUUAGUCGGUCUUUGUAUGACUAUGAGGAGGAGGGGGACUUUUUGUCUAGCUGGGAAAUCCUCUUGGCGAAGUACAAUCUGAAAGACAACGAGUGGCUAAGUAAAUUGUAUGAGGAUAGAGAAAGAUGGGCUUUGCCUUAUGGGCGUGAUAUAUUCUGUGCAGAUAUUGCAGCCACACUCCGAAGUGAUAACAUGGAUGCCAUCCUGACAGGUGUUCUCAAAACAGAAAUAGAUCUUCCAUACUUCUUUAGCAGAUAUGAUAAAUUUUUAGAGGAGAAACGUCUAGCUGAACAAGAAGCUGACUACCUUGGAGUUCAAAUGACACAGAGGGUACCACCUCUGCGGUUACUUUGGCAAGCUGCUAAUACAUAUACCCCUGCACUGUUUGAGCUGUUCAGGUUAGAAUUUGAACUGGUCUUGGCCUGCAUGGUUUAUUGCUGUGGUGAAAUUGGACCAAUAUCCGAGUAUGAGGUAACUGUCAAAAACAGACCUCAAGUUCAUUUUGUUAGAUUUGACUCAUCAGAAUAUAUGGUCCUUUGUAGCUGCAAGAAGUUUGAAUUUGUAGGCCUUCCAUGUUGCCAUGCACUGAAAGUUCUUGAGAUAAAAAAUAUUAAAGAACUUCCACCACAAUAUAUUUUGAAAAGAUGGCGAAAGGAUGCUCAGAGUGAAUCUCCAAAGGAGAACUUCGGUUUUGCUGCUGUGGGUGAAGAUCCCAAGUUCACGGUGUCUAAACGGCACAAUUCGCUGUAUCGAACUUUAUAUAAAGUGGCAGCAAAGGCUGCAGAAAACAUUGAAGGUCAGAGAUUUAUGGAGAGCCAAUAUGAUCAGCUCCUGGAACAAGUUGAGCUUCUUUUGCAAGCAAAGUUGCAUGACAAGCCUUCCUUAAGCACUAUCAUGAGAAGUCAACAGCCAAAUUUGCCUCAGAAUGAUACCAGCAACAGUGAACCUCGCAGAGCAAGUAGUAAGAAAAAUAAAAAUGUAGAGAAUCGUCGGCAGCAGCAAAGUCCUCUUGAAUCAAGUAAAAAGAAAAAAGGUAGACAAGGUCUAGUGGAGCCUGAGGAGGCUGAACUGCCACUUAGGGUUCUUGCUCCCACAAUAUCGAAUGACAUCCCAAAUCACAUGAGUACUCCAACCAACCAGUUCCUUGCUCCAAGUCAUCUGAUGCAGGCACCAUAUGUUACACAGCAAUUUGGUCUUAAUUCUCUUCAAGGAUUUUCUGGCAUGUCGCCAUUUGGGCAGAUGCAGGAACAAUCACCUGUGCAUCUUCAGCAACCUCAUCUACAACAACCACCCUUUCAUAGCGGUCCACAAAUGCACCAGGCUCCCCCUCCAGAUAUCCAGUCAUUGCAGUUUCUUAGCAGCAAUCCUCAACUGGGCCACCAGACCACGGAUCAAGGCCAGUACACCAUCCCUGUAUGGGAUUUCCUGUGA